rnacentral:lncRNA from 1 species
AGCACCAUCUGGAUCUUGUAAUGAAAAUAUGGAAAGUGAAGCUUAGCUUAGCUGAUCCAUUAGGAAUAAUGGAAAUAAAAAAUCAAUAGCUUGACCCAGACCAGAAACAAUUUGCUCCUGUCCAAAUUUCCCAGGUGCCAUAGAUACGUCCUAAAUUCAAUCACUACCUUUCUACUGUGGAUGGAUCUACAAAACCAAAUCAAAAUUCCCACUUGUUACUGCUCAGGAUUUUCUACCUCGGCCUCGGCUUCGUCCAUACGAAGCCUUUUCGGACUUGAUUUCAGUUUACAAUCCUCCACAUUGGGAGCUUUAUACUUUGAUGGUAGAGAUGUUGGUGACUCGGUUUUGGACUCACAAGGCUCGGUUUCUGAUGCAAUCCUUGAUGGCAGUUCGGAGUUUGGGUUCGGAACUAAGGCAUUGCCAGCUUUAUGUAUGUAUGUAUAAAAUCCAUAACAGAUUAACAGAAGAUUUUAUAUUAUACAACAGAUAGACACAACAAUACAAAAAAAGCGUAAGCAUGACAUAGAAUACACAAAUUAACAUAUAUGAGCACCAUUUGGAUCUUGUAAUGAAAAUAUGGAAAGUGAACCUUAGCUGAUCCAUAAGGAAUAAUGGAAAUAAAAAAUCAAUAGCUUGACCCAGACCAGAAACAAUUUGCUCCUGUCCAAAUUUCCCAGGUGCCAUAGAUACGUCCUAAAUUCAAUCACUACCUUUCUACUGUGGAUGGAUCUACAAAACCAAAUCAAAAUUCCCACUUGUUACUGCUCAGGAUUUUCUACCUCGGCCUCGGCUUCGUCCAUACGAAGCCUUUUCGGACUUGAUUUCAGUUUACAAUCCUCCACAUUGGGAGCUUUAUACUUUGAUGGUAGAGAUGUUGGUGACUCGGUUUUGGAC